GUCAUCAGGGGAAGCUGAUUGCUCUCCUAGCAUACCACACUUUGAUUCAUUUAUACUUAAGUGAUGAAAGUGAUUCCCCCCUUAAAUGGAUACAAGCCCAGGAGGGGCUUAGGGAGCUGUAAAGGUUGAAUCCUGCAUCUUCCAGGAGAUGGGCAGCUUGUAGAUGGUUGAGCAGUUCUAAUGCUUGGAUAGAAUUGCGUUCAAAGACACGGUUUUCCAUGCAAAUCCAUGGCUGUACGAUGCUUGCUGAUGCUGCUACCAUCACCCAUGGUAACAAUUACCUUUUGUAUACUAGAUACCAGGUAAGCCU
rnacentral:lncRNA from 1 species